GUACGACGUGACAAGCGCGGAACGCACAGCGAAGGUGCUUGCACCUUUCAAGUGAGUGGCGAACGGGUGAGUAACACGUGGACAACCUGCCUCAAGGCUGGGGAUAACAUUUGGAAACAGAUGCUAAUACCGAAUAAAACUUAGUGUCGCAUGACACAAAGUUAAAAGGCGCUUCGGCGUCACCUAGAGAUGGAUCCGCGGUGCAUUAGUUAGUUGGUGGGGUAAAGGCCUACCAAGACAAUGAUGCAUAGCCGAGUUGAGAGACUGAUCGGCCACAUUGGGACUGAGACACGGCCCAAACUCCUACGGGAGGCUGCAGUAGGGAAUCUUCCACAAUGGGCGAAAGCCUGAUGGAGCAACGCCGCGUGUGUGAUGAAGGCUUUCGGGUCGUAAAGCACUGUUGUAUGGGAAGAACAGCUAGAAUAGGAAAUGAUUUUAGUUUGACGGUACCAUACCAGAAAGGGACGGCUAAAUACGUGCCAGCAGCCGCGGUAAUACGUAUGUCCCGAGCGUUAUCCGGAUUUAUUGGGCGUAAAGCGAGCGCAGACGGUUUAUUAAGUCUGAUGUGAAAGCCCGGAGCUCAACUCCGGAAUGGCAUUGGAAACUGGUUAACUUGAGUGCAGUAGAGGUAAGUGGAACUCCAUGUGUAGCGGUGGAAAUGCGUAUAUAUAUGGAAGAACACCAGUGGCGAAAGGCGGCUUAACUGGACUGCAACUGACGUUUGAGGCUCCGAAAG
rnacentral:rRNA from 1 species